AGUGGCGAACGGGUGAGUAACACGUGAGCAACCUGCCCCGAAGACCGGGAUAACACCGGGAAACCGGUGCUAAUACCGGAUAUCUUCGCCGGACCGCAUGAUCCGGCGAGGAAAUGGUCUGCCGCUUCGGGAUGGGCUCGCGGCCUAUCAGCUUGUUGGUGGGGUAACGGCCCACCAAGGCGACGACGGGUAGCUGGUCUGAGAGGAUGUCCAGCCACACUGGGACUGAGACACGGCCCAGACUCCUACGGGAGGCAGCAGUGGGGAAUCUUGCGCAAUGGGCGAAAGCCUGACGCAGCGACGCCGCGUGCGGGAUGAAGGCCUUCGGGUUGUAAACCGCUUUCAGCAGGGACGAAAUUGACGGUACCUGCAGAAGAAGCCCCGGCCAACUACGUGCCAGCAGCCGCGGUAAUACGUAGGGGGCGAGCGUUGUCCGGAUUUAUUGGGCGUAAAGAGCUCGUAGGCGGUUGGGCAAGUCACGUGUGAAAUCUCCACGCUCAACGUGGAGGCGCCACGUGAGACUGCCCUGACUGGAGUCCGGUAGGGGAGCGUGGAAUUCCCGGUGUAGCGGUGAAAUGCGCAGAGAUCGGGAGGAACACCCGUAGCGAAGGCGGCGCUCUGGGCCGGUAC
rnacentral:rRNA from 1 species